GGGGACGUAGCUCAGUUGGCAGAGCACCUGCUUUGCAAGCAGGGGGUCGUGGGUUCGAUUCCCAUCGUCUCCAC
rnacentral:tRNA from 1 species